AUGCACAGCUCUCAUCCAAACCCCACUCUCUCCCUCCCUUCUCUUCUUUUAGCUCUUAUCUGCUGUAAUUGCUCUCAUAGCUGGUUGGUGGUGAUAACAUCUCCCAGGCUCUGGACUUCCUCCUCUAAAGCCAACACACUUAGAGAGUCUCUGUCUGGACGGUUAGCGGCUGGUGACCAGAGACUCAUCUCAGCACUCCAGACAUGCACUGAUCAAGAAGGAAAAGAGGAUUGGAGGGAGGGGGAAUGGUGUUAAUAUGCAAGAAUUCACUAUGUGUUAUUGACUAAAUGUCUUCAAGUGUGUGCCAGAGGGAAUAAUGUCUUAUGUCCUAUUAGCUCUGUCAAGGGUGAUGGCACAAGGUCAGCUGCUUUAGACGUUUCCCCUCUCCUCCACUUUAAUCUCCCCGUCAUUUUGUCUGUCUGUCCAUAAGUUUCAGUUUGAGCUCUGUUGGCUUUUGCAGAACAAGACUCUGGCUUCAGUGGUAUAUCAGGCUCUGAUUCGUCAAGUUUCAAUUUGAUUUCAAGAGGAGUUCAGUUUCCUCUGUGGAGUAAAAGAGUACAGUAUCUGCUUUAGCACUCAGGAACAGAUAGCAUACAAUAAUAUUCAUUAUUUUAGUUAACUUUUCUCUGAUGAAAUUUUAAGUAAUGAAAAGUGCAAAAUUAAAUAUUCAAACAUAUCACAAUUUAAACAAACAUGACAGCAUUGCAUCUUUCUUACUUUAAACAAAACUAUUUUUUUUUAUCACACUGCCCAUGGGUAUGUACUACCUAAAAGGGAAAUAAACAUCCUCUGAAUUAAUAAAAACAUAUUUAAACAUUUGCAUCUAAUUAAGUGAUGUGCUUUGUGUGUGUGUGUGUGUGUGUGCGUGCGUGUGCGUGCGUGCGUGCGUGCGUGCAUGCGUGCGUGCGUGUGUGUGUGUGUGUGUGUCCGGUUGUACUGGCAUGCAGCAGAAUUCCUCAGCAUGCUGUCCUGGCCGGCUUGGUGGACAUUGACCACGGCUGCUAAGGAUAAACUCCCACUCGACAGCAGAAGGACAAACACACUCUAUUUUUCUUGGUUAGAUUUAAACUCUGCGUAUUAUGCCUCUUGUGUUAAUGACUGAAUACAUGAGCUCUCUUGGUCCUCUCUGAGGUUGACCAGUACUGAAAAGUACACACAGAAAUCACACUUCCAGGCAUGUACUCAUAUUGUCAUUCACACGCGCACACACACACACGCACACACACACACACACACACACACACACACUUACACAGUCCAACAACACAGACUGAACAAGAUUGCCUUCAUUAAACAAAAAUGUAUGUACAUGCAGAAAUAGUGUAAAGCUAAAAGAAUUGCUUUGCCACUCACCCAC
ensembl:lncRNA